CGAAUGCUGACAUAAGUAACGAUAAAGCGGGUGAAAAGCCCGCUCGCCGGAAGACCAAGGGUUCCUGUCCAACGUUAAUCGGGGCAGGGUGAGUCGACCCCUAAGGCGAGGCCGAAAGGCGUAGUCGAUGGGAAACAGGUUAAUAUUCCUGUACUUGGUGUUACUGCGAAGGGGGGACGGAGAAGGCUAUGUUGGCCGGGCGACGGUUGUCCCGGUUUAAGCGUGUAGGCUGGUUUUCCAGGCAAAUCCGGAAAAUCAAGGCUGAGGCGUGAUGACGAGGCACUACGGUGCUGAAGCAACAAAUGCCCUGCUUCCAGGAAAAGCCUCUAAGCAUCAGGUAACAUCAAAUCGUACCCCAAACCGACACAGGUGGUCAGGUAGAGAAUACCAAGGCGCUUGAGAGAACUCGGGUGAAGGAACUAGGCAAAAUGGUGCCGUAACUUCGGGAGAAGGCACGCUGAUAUGUAGGUGAAGCGACUUGCUCGUGGAGCUGAAAUCAGUCGAAGAUACCAGCUGGCUGCAACUGUUUAUUAAAAACACAGCACUGUGCAAACACGAAAGUGGACGUAUACGGUGUGACGCCUGCCCGGUGCCGGAAGGUUAAUUGAUGGGGUCAGCGCAAGCGAAGCUCUUGAUCGAAGCCCCGGUAAACGGCGGCCGUAACUAUAACGGUCCUAAGGUAGCGAAAUUCCUUGUCGGGUAAGUUCCGACCUGCACGAAUGGCGUAAUGAUGGCCAGGCUGUCUCCACCCGAGACUCAGUGAAAUUGAACUCGCUGUGAAGAUGCAGUGUACCCGCGGCAAGACGGAAAGACCCCGUGAACCUUUACUAUAGCUUGACACUGAACAUUGAGCCUUGAUGUGUAGGAUAGGUGGGAGGCUUUGAAGUGUGGACGCCAGUCUGCAUGGAGCCGACCUUGAAAUACCACCCUUUAAUGUUUGAUGUUCUAACGUUGACCCGUAAUCCGGGUUGCGGACAGUGUCUGGUGGGUAGUUUGACUGGGGCGGUCUCCUCCUAAAGAGUAACGGAGGAGCACGAAGGUUGGCUAAUCCUGGUCGGACAUCAGGAGGUUAGUGCAAUGGCAUAAGCCAGCUUGACUGCGAGCGUGACGGCGCGAGCAGGUGCGAAAGCAGGUCAUAGUGAUCCGGUGGUUCUGAAUGGAAGGGCCAUCGCUCAACGGAUAAAAGGUACUCCGGGGAUAACAGGCUGAUACCGCCCAAGAGUUCAUAUCGACGGCGGUGUUUGGCACCUCGAUGUCGGCUCAUCACAUCCUGGGGCUGAAGUAGGUCCCAAGGGUAUGGCUGUUCGCCAUUUAAAGUGGUACGCGAGCUGGGUUUAGAACGUCGUGAGACAGUUCGGUCCCUAUCUGCCGUGGGCGCUGGAGAACUGAGGGGGGCUGCUCCUAGUACGAGAGGACCGGAGUGGACGCAUCACUGGUGUUCGGGUUGUCAUGCCAAUGGCACUGCCCGGUAGCUAAAUGCGGAAGAGAUAAGUGCUGAAAGCAUCUAAGCACGAAACU
rnacentral:rRNA from 1 species